GGGCUCGGCCGGGAUUUGAACCCGGGACCUCUCGCACCCAAAGCGAGAAUCAUACAACUAGACCACCGAGCC
rnacentral:tRNA from 13 species